UACGUAGGGUGCGAGCGUUAAUCGGAAUUACUGGGCGUAAAGCGUGCGCAGGCGGUUCGUUAUGUCCGAUGUGAAAGCCCCGAGCUCAACUUGGGAAUGGCAUUGGAAACUGGCGGGCUGGAGUGUGGCAGAGGGGGGUGGAAUUCCACGUGUAGCAGUGAAAUGCGUAGAUAUCUGGAGGAAUACCGGUGGCGAAGGCGGCAUCCUGGACCAUUACUGACGCUGAAUCGCGAAAGCUAGGGGAGCAAACGGG
rnacentral:rRNA from 1 species